GGCCUGAAGCUCCUCGGUGUGGAGCGUGCACAGGGCUGACAAUGUGGGGAUUCGGCUGAUCAGCUGCCAGACAAAGAGGGAGAAACGGUCAAAGGAAGGAAAUCAGAAUUCUUAUCAUUUGCAGUCGACUCACCUGACUUGAGAAGGAGGAUCUGGUCAUUCUGGCACAGUUCCAUGAACCCUGAGAUGCGCUUGGCGAACUCCACCACGUACUGGAUUGCAUGGGUGAUCUGGAUGGCACACUGCUGCCACAGCACGUCCCGGGGCUACGACCAAACACACCCAGUUCAGGGAUAAAUGCUCUGAAUUGAUGCAGUUAUUGUCAUACCAGCAGGUGACACAGAGUCACAUUUCAUUACUGUGUCGCAGCAUAAAAGCUCACCUUGCUCUGGUACAUUUUGACCUCUUCAUAGGAAUGUGUCUGCCAGGCGAGCUGCUGCAGCUCGUCUGUUGUGUACUGACAUGUCUCCAAGUGGGACUUGAUGAUAUUCUGAGCAAUACGAUCUGGAAGAGAGGA